rnacentral:piRNA from 1 species
UAUUGAGAUGUGCCUGUGUAC